rnacentral:rRNA from 1 species
GACGAACGCUGGCGGCGUGCUUAACACAUGCAAGUCGAACGCUGAAGCACCAGCUUGCUGGUGUGGAUGAGUGGCGAACGGGUGAGUAAUACGUGAGUAACCUGCCCUUGACUCUGGGAUAAGCCCGGGAAACUGGGUCUAAUACUGGAUGCUACAUGUCACCGCAUGGUGGUGUGUGGAAAGGGUUUACUGGUCUUGGAUGGGCUCACGGCCUAUCAGCUUGUUGGUGAGGUAAUGGCUCACCAAGGCGACGACGGGUAGCCGGCCUGAGAGGGUGACCGGCCACACUGGGACUGAGACACGGCCCAGACUCCUACGGGAGGCAGCAGUGGGGAAUAUUGCACAAUGGGCGAAAGCCUGAUGCAGCGACGCCGCGUGAGGGAUGACGGCCUUCGGGUUGUAAACCUCUUUCAGCAGGGAAGAAGCCACAAGUGACGGUACCUACAGAAGUAGCGCCGGCUAACUACGUG